UUCGAGUGCUUUUCCCAAACAUCUGGCAGGUGGUAGGUCGCUAGCAUUUAAAGUCUGCAUUCUUAAACACUAUGCAAUACUGCUCCCCCAUUCAUCAUGAUAAUUUAAACAGUCAUGAUGAAUUACAAGAAUUCACAGAUUCCAACAUCACUAUUAUUACCCGACUAACUCUGCUGUUAUACUAAGCAGAGAUCAAACACAAAAAGGGGAGAUAGUUUCUGUAGAUGUAAAAUAAGUUCUAGUAAUGUGAAAUUAUUAAUAUCUUUUGAUGGACUAGUCAUACCAAAGAAACUUUAGGCUACAAAGCAGCUAAGCCAAUAAUCAAUAGG